AUCGAACGCUGGCGGCAGGCCUAAUACAUGCAAGUCGAGCGAGAGGCGGAUGGGUGAGUAAUGUCUGGGAAACUGCCUGACGGACCGGUAUAACUACGGGAAACGGUAGCAAAUAACGCAUACCCUCUGAUCUGUCCAGAUGGGAUUAGCUAGUAGGUGGGGUAAUGGCUCACCUAGGCGACGAUCCCUAGCUGCUCUGAGAGGAUGACCAGCCAAACUGGGACUGAGACACGGCCCAGACUCCUACGGGAGGCAGCAGUGGGGAAUAUUGCACAAUGGGCGCAAGCCUGAUGCAGCCAUGCCGCGUGUAUGAAGAAGGCCUUAGGGUUGUAAAGUACUUUCAGCGAGGAGGCGUUACUCGCAGAAGAAGCACCGGCUAACUCCGUGCCAGCAGCCGCGGUAAUUC
rnacentral:rRNA from 1 species